GAAAAUGUGGUGAGAAAGAGGAGUAGAUACAGAAUCUCUUCAGAGAGAGCGGUUUGGCAGCUGGAAGACCGCUUAGAGCAAUGUGUAUCGAAGGUAGCUUUUGAACAGGAUGGCUGAACAGGAACAGGCGGCGAAGCGUUGACGACUGGUUUUAGUAGGCUGUAACGGGUGGCUCCGUUAAAGGCUCUGAAGGCAUAUGGAAGUGCCAUGCAUUAGACAGCGGAUAGAUUGCUGUGCGCAUCGAAGUGAUGAUGGAUGUGUGUCAUUGGAAUAUGUGAAUAAAGGUGGUACCGCGAGCUCUCGCCCUUUUU
rnacentral:ncRNA from 1 species